rnacentral:rRNA from 1 species
UACGUAGGGGGCAAGCGUUGUCCGGAAUCAUUGGGCGUAAAGCGCGCGUAGGCGGCCCGGUAAGUCCGCUGUGAAAGUCAAAGGCUCAACCUUUGAAUGUCAGCGGAUACUGCCGGGCUAGAGUCCGGAAGAGGCGAGUGGAACUCCUGGUGUAGCGGUGGAAUGCGCAGAUAUCAGGAAGAACACCAACGGCGAAGGCAGCGCGCUGGGACGGAACUGACGCUGAGGCGCGAAAGCGUGGGGAGCGAACAGG